UCGCCACUCCCACACUCAGCAUUCAGCAACCCUAGUCCCCACUCCCCAACUCUCUCCACUCUCUAUCUCCCCUUGAGUCCUCAACCACUCCACAGCACCAAAAACUCCUCCUUCCAUCCUCCAUAGAGCCGUCGACCUCUCAGCCACUGACAUCGUCAAAUGGCACCCUCUUGGCAGCCCUUCCUCGUCAGUCGUCACGCUUCCCUCUUCUCGGUUCUCGGCGCGGUCCUUUCUCUUUCGACCUUCCUCAUCGUGCUUCCCUCUCCUCGGCGGGGCUCUGUCUCUCCCUCCCUUCCUCGUCGUCAUCCACGCGCUGCAGCCGCCGUCUCCGCCACGCACCAGGAGCUGCGUCGUCCUCUACGAACAGCAUCCUUCGUUUCUUCCAGAACUUGAGAGGAGUCACCAACAUUUGAUUCCAUUCAAUUCACCCUUCAUAAACCCUAAUCUUCAACCAGUUCAUCCUGAAAGUUGGAAACCUAUGUGGUCUGUUUCAAGGCCAAUAAUGCAUACGUAUUCCCCGAACAGAGCAGCGAUUCCCCACCGCAGAACAGAGCAGAGAUUCCCCACCGCCGGUGCACCACGAACGCGAAGACCCAGAUCAACACAGCACCUCGCCACCACCAACUGACCCAACAGGGCAGCACAGCAGACAGCACCCACGAGGCCACGAUCAACAAAGCACCUCGCCACCUCCACUCAGCAGCGUUUCUGGGUUCUGGCCACCCACGAUCAACACAGCAGCCUUGGCCGUUUGUAUGAGUAUGCUAACAACAGAAAUCCUCUCGAAGAAACAGCUCCAAUUAGACUUUUUGGACCAUGGAGUACUAAUUUUGUUGAAGAAUUAGCUUGAGCCACUUCCCGAUGGAAGCUUGUCAAAUAUUAACAUUCGCAAAGCAAUUUUGAGUAUUUUAAAUGAUGUACUGAGUUUUCACCAUUAUAAAUAUUUUUUUUAUUCAAUUGCCCUUCUCCAGCAAAAUGUUAAAGGAACUAAAGGGCAUAAGGGCAUUUUAGACGGAAGAAAAUUCUACUAUGCAAGUUGAGUAGAAUUAGAAGUCAAUUAUCAGGGAUUUGAAUGGUUUGUACUUUGUAUAUUCUGAAUCAUAGUUAUUAAGUAUUUUUCGGAGUUUCUUGUAUUGGUAGAUGCAAGUUCAAACAUAAGUAACUGGAAAGUUAUAAUGACAUUCACCAAAACUAAGUAAUUCCUC